GUGCUCAUUUCAGCAUCAUAUACACUAUAUUUGGAACAAUUCAUAGAAGAUUAACAUGCCUUCUAUGCAAAGUUGAAACACAAAUUUAUAAAGUAUUUCAUAAUUCU
rnacentral:snRNA from 1 species